rnacentral:lncRNA from 1 species
AUAGAGUAAAUGGUUUGUGGACAGAAUAGAAUUAAUGAUUAUCAUGAGCUUUGUGCAAGCAAGCAGAUUUUAAAUUUUAUAAUUUUUAGGUUACAAAAUGUAAAGAAGGAAGAAGUCAACAACAAGAGUGAUUGAAGUGGAGUAGUAGUUAGAAAAAUUGUAAUACAGAAAGUUACAAAUAACUCGUGACGAUGCUAACUUCGAGUAAUAAACAAUAUUACAUAACAGGAAGAAAUGUUGUCUUUCACAACAAAAAAAGUGUAUCGCGGUCUAAGAAUUGUACAUAGAAAAGCUACGAGUAGGAAUAAUAGCAACUCAAAUAGCUCCGAAAACAAGGGAGGUGAUCCUAGUAAACCAAGGAAGUAUCCACAAGAACCUACAACUUGCUGUAUGUCUGGUUGUGCAAAUUGUGUCUGGCUGGAAUAUGCAGAAGAGCUCGCUGAAUAUUUCAAAGAUGGUGGGCAUAAAGCUUUGGAAGAAAUCAAUGAGAAAGUAACCGAUUCCAAUAUGAAAGCUUUUUUGUUACAUGAACUUAGGAUGAGAAAUAUAAAAUGACUCUCUGAAUCCCUCCAUGUUAUUCAUUUACACAUUUAAUAAAGUAAUUACAAUGUCUAUUGAAGUAAA